rnacentral:tRNA from 1 species
GCCUGGGUGGCUCAGUUGGUUAAGCAUCUGGCUUUGGCUUAGGUCAUGAUCUCAUGGUUUGUGGGUUUGAGCCCCACAUCAGGCU